AGUCUCCAGCUACUACACCGAGUCUCCAGCUACUACACCGAGUCUCCAGCUACUACACCGAGUCUCCAGCUACUACACCGAGUCUCCAGCUACUACACCGAGUCUCCAGCUACUUCUCGACCAAAACGGUUAUACUACACCGGAGCGCCCAAGUACUACUCUGCCCCGAGCUACACAACCAUAACUGACGCGGCCAAGUAUUUUCGUAGCCCCGACUUACUACACAGCAGCUACGUACUCCUUCCUACUACGUUGAACAGAAAUCCUACACUGAUGCUCCAGUUUACUACAUCCCAAUCUACGCUAAAUCUAGCAACAACACCGAAGCCAAAUCUAGCAACAACACCGAAGCCCCCAAGUACAGCACCGAAGAAAUCAUAUUACAGAGCCACGUACGCUGUCCCACUUAAGUACACCGAGGAACCCAAGUAUUACACUGCUCCAAGCUACUACCAAACAAAGGCUCAUAAUUAUUAAACCGCUACUUACGCUGCUCCGAGCUAUACACCGAAGUUGCAAAGUAUUCCUCUGCCUUGAGGUACUAUACUACUAAGGCACCAACAUGUUACACCUCAACCUACCCUUCUGCAGCUGACUACAGGGAGACUUCUGAAUACUAGAGCUGAAUUUUAAUUUGAUUAUUUGUGUGGAGAUUUGUGUUCAGAUUUGUCGGUUUUUUUUAAUAGUUGCUAGUCAUAGAUAUUUAAUUGUGGAUGUCUAAUGACAAAAUAAAUAUUUAAUUGCGGGAAACUAUCUUGUAAGAUUUCCCUUAAUACCUUUACACCUUUCGACAUUGCUACAGAUGUUCCUAUUUUGGAGGUAACUACUUCUCUAGUCGCUCUUCAUACGGACAUAUCCUGGUCUUUGGACGAAAUUCUUUUUCGAGGAUGGCGUAACAAAGGAGUUGGCAGACAUUGAUUUUGGCCUCUUCACAGAAAUUUAUUGAAAGAGAAAUGUCUUUACAAGUAAUAGCCAAGUGUCUUAAAACAUGAAUGUAAAACUUUAAAGUCAGAUAAAUAUACUGUUUUAUUUGCUGAA